AGAGUUUGAUCCUGGCUCAGAACGAACGCUGGCGGCGUGGCUAAGACAUGCAAGUCGCACGGAAAGGCUUUUUCCGAUCCUUCGGGUGAAGAAAAAGCACUCGAGUGGCGAAAGGGCGAGGAACACUUGGGUAACGUACCCCCGACACAGGGAUAGCCGUGGGAAACUGCGGAUAAUACCUGAUGACAUCCGAUAACUGCAGGGUUGUCGGAUCAAAGGAUGGCCUCUACUUGUAAGCUAUCGGUCGAGGAGCGGCCCAAGUCCUAUCAGCUUGUUGGUGAGGUAAUGGCUCACCAAGGCAACGACGGGUACCGGGACUGAGAGGUUGACCCGGCGCAUUGGGACUGAGACACUGCCCAGACUCCUACGGGAGGCUGCAGUAACGAAUAUUGGACAAUGGGCGCAAGCCUGAUCCAGCGACGCCGCGUGUAGGAUGAAGUCCUUCGGGAUGUAAACUACUGUCAGGGACUACCACGCAAUACGGGUUAAUACCUCGUAACGCUGAGGAAUCCCAGAGGAGGUCACGGCUAACUUCGUGCCAGCAGCCGCGGUAAGACGAAGGUGGCAAGCGUUGUUCGGAAUCACUGGGCUUAAAGAGCAUGUAGGCGGAUGAUCAAGCGUCUUGUGAAAGCCCUCGGCUCAACCGGGGAAUUGCUUGGCGAACUGGUCAUCUUGAGGCAGGUAGGGGCAAGUGGAACUCUUGGUGGAGCGGUGGAAUGCGUAGAUAUCAAGAGGAACGCCAGAGGCGAAGGCGACUUGCUGGGCCUGUCCUGACGCUGAGAUGCGAAAGCCCAGGGAGCGAACGGGAUUAGAUACCCCGGUAGUCCUGGGCCCUAAACGAUGUCCACUAGAUCGGAGAUUCUCUGACGGAUUUCUGGUCGAAAUGAAAACGUUAAGUGGACCGCCUGGGGAGUACGGUCGCAAGGCUAAAACUCAAAGGAAUUGACGGGGGCUCACACAAGCGGUGGAGCAUGUUGCUUAAUUCGAUGCAACGCGAAGAACCUUAUCCUGGACUUGACAUGUUCGGAUGCCUCCCUGGAAACAGGGUUCGGCUGCCCUUCGGGGUGAAACGAUCACAGGUGCUGCAUGGCUGUCGUCAGCUCGUGUCGUGAGAUGUUGGGUUAAGUCCCGUAACGAGCGAAACCCUUGUCGCUAGUUGCCAGCGCGUAAUGGCGGGGACUCUAGCGAGACUGCCGGUGUCAAACCGGAGGAAGGUGGGGAUGACGUCAAGUCCUCAUGGCCUUUAUGUCCAGGGCUGCAAACGUGCUACAAUGGCCGGUACAAAUCGACGCAAGACCGCGAGGUGGAGCAAAUCGCAAAAAGCCGGCCCCAGUUCGGAUUGGAGUCUGCAACUCGACUCCAUGAAGUCGGAAUCGCUAGUAAUCGCGUAUCAGCGUGACGCGGUGGAUGUGUUCCUGAGCCUUGUACACACCGCCCGUCAAGUCAUGGAAGCCGGGAGCACCCGAAGUCGCCCUAUUUCAGGGGUGCCGAAGGUGAGCUCGGUGACUGGGACUAAGUCGUAACAAGG
rnacentral:rRNA from 1 species